rnacentral:lncRNA from 1 species
CUGCCACACUGUGCAGUCAAAAUUUUUAUUGCCAGAUCCUGGACACCACGUGUUUGUUUGUUUGUUGUUUUUUUUUGUGUGUGUGUUUUGUAAACCAUCUGGGAUGAUUAUUCUAGGACAUCUAAUUAGGUUUAUCCUUGUGGCAUAACUAAAUGUUCUCCCCGAUUCUAUAAGCCGCAAUUUUGGUAGAUUGUGCAACAUCUACCUAUUCUAUACCUAUCAAUGGUUAGAUACAGGCCACAAACUAUAGGCUUCAUUACAUAUUUCACGGCAUGGUUUGUUUUCAAGACCCU